CUUACACAUGUUAAGUUUGCUGAAAAUAAAUGCAAUUGACAGCGAGAGGACGGUUCUUUUUUUGCUGAGUUCAUGUUUUCGUACCUCUCUGUGUGACAUUGGCCUAAGUCUCGAUGGUCUGUCGUCAAUAUUCAUGUAUCUUAUAGAAGUUCUCUCUCCUCCCUGAAGAUGGCGCUUAACUGGCCUGGCCUGCUGUUAUUCGUGGUGUUCUUCCUCAUUGUCCUCGCGACAGGCAUCCAGAAAGUCAAAGCGCGAGGAGAGGAAGUGCACUGGAAACCUUAGUGAGGUUGCCAUGGUUGGAGGGUGGAACCUCAACAUCUGGGUCAGCAUCUUCACUACCACAGCUACAUGGGUGGGAGGAGGUUUCAUCUUAGGCAAUGCUGAGGUGGUCUACGACCCUAAAAGGGGCAUGACUUGGGCCAUUGGACCGAUAGGUUUCUCCCUUAGCCUGGUUGCAGGAAACCUGUCCGAGAGAAGAAUUAUGUCACCAUAAUGGAUCCGUUUCAGGAGAAGUAUGGGAACACAUUAACUGCUAUUCUCUAUCCCAUCACUCCUUGCUGACAUCUUCUGGAUAGCCUGUGUGCUCGCUGCAUUAGGUAAGUCAGUUGUUCUGUCAGAAAAAUAGCCAUCACAGCACCUUUUAGCACGUGCCAUGACUAGAGCCACGUUUACCUGGUUAUGUCACGUGGAAAAACUGUCUCUUGCUUAGAUUUAUCUGAGUGAAUCUUUGAUGUAAUUUAUUGAAGAAUAAGCAAUUGUUGUCCACCACCACAUUAUCCGGAAGCAUGAGAAUGAGUCUAAACUAUUACAUUAUUAGUUGGUGAUGUUGGCCAACUCCCUGAUGCAUGAAUGAGUGCAUGAACCUGCAUGGCAUGUGUGUAAGUUAUACAUUGGGUGAACUGUUGAGGCCUUCUAGCGACAUAAUGACACUCAGAUCUCAGGGAUGUUGUUGGCUAUGGACUACACACAGAAGCUUGCAAGCUACUACGCUAGCUAGAAUGUGUGAACAAUCUGCACAAUGCUUUGCUCUAGGGGGAACAGUGAGUGCGAUCAUAGAUAUCCCAUCACCCUUGGCUGUGGCCCUGUCUGCUGACGUGGCAGUUCUCUACACAUUGCUGAGAGGGCUGUACUCGGUGGCCUACACUGAUGUAAGGGCACGUGUCUAGUCUACUGUAUAUAUACACACCAAGAUUCACUUUAUUUACGUGUCGGAGUUUCUGUAUGGGAAUUGCUUUAACUUUUUUUUCUUUUUCUUUCCUUUCAAUGGUUUUGUGGUUUCGUUUUUUUUCCUUUCAGUGAUUUUGUGGUUUUGUUUUUUCCCUUCCAGUGGUUCUGUGUGCCCUUCAUACUGAUGAGCCCCGCAUCAGCAGACAUUACAGUCACAGUGGUGACAAAACUGUAUCAGGAGCCAUGGACCGGCAGGCUGAAGUUGGCAGAUGCAGGGCGCUGGCUGGAUGACCUGCUACUGGUGAUUAGAACCAGACCAGUUGUGGUCUACCUACUCCCUACAAGCAGGGCAAGGCGGAUAUGAUUCUGCCCAUCUCCCUGCACCACCUGUGCCCGCCUCUUGUCGGAAUCGGCACUAUUGCUGCUGACGUGAUGUCAUCGAUUGACUCUGCCCUGCUGUCUUCUGCGUCCCUUUUUCCCCGAAACAUCUACAAAAACAUUUUCAGCAAAACGGUGAGAGAAAGUUGGAGAAUCUACUUACAAACAUCUUAGUUUAUUCUAUGUAACUAUUUAUUUCUUCUUCAGAAAGAGAUUCUACUGGUUGUAAUGGUGUCCAUCCUACUGUUUGGUUUGAUGGGGGCGGGCUUGGCAAUGACGACCUCAUCUGUGUAUGUCUUCUGGAUUCUCAGUGGAGAUGUGAUGUACACGGUGGUGUGUGCCCAGUUGAUCUGCGUGCUCUUUCUGCCUGGGUAUGGUGCCUUGGCAGGCCUUGUGGUAGGGCUACUGCUGCAUCUCCUAGUGGGAGAGCCCCUGCUCGGUAUGCCAGGACUCAUGCCCCUUCCCUGGGACAGCCUACACGAGGACGGGCGUCUGCUGCAUGUCUUCCCGUUCCGCACCGGCAUCAUGUUGGUCUCUCUGGCCACCAUCCUGGCUGUGUCACGUUUCGCAGCCUCCCUUUUCCUUAAAGGACUACUGCCUGACAACUGGGAUGUAUAUGGACAUGGUCAAAAAAGGAUGAUUUUGAUUAAGGAUAUAGUAGCUAAGGAUCUGACUGAGAAGACUGGACUGAACACAAAGCAGAAUGACCCAUGCGAGCACAUAUCUCAUAUCUCCUCAUGCGAGCACAGAAGAUCUUUACAAUGACCUGGGGUCCCAUCAUGUAGAUAGUUACAGACAACGGCCAAAGGCCAGGAACAGGCAGGACUCAAACACCACAGCACAGUUAAGACUCUUAAUUCAAUAAUGUUACCUUUUCAAAGAAAUGUAGCUUGUGGAAAGUACUGUUUCCUUGUUCUUGUUACUUGUAUGUCAUCUUCAUGUUUAUGGUACAUUUGUAUGAAUAUCCUUCAAAGACUGUUUGUUUAGAAAUAAAUAAAAAUACAAGCUAAAUAACGAGUGAUCAAGCAUGAAUCGACACCACCCUAGACAGGUGGAAAAACAAGGUAAAACGGUGAACUGGCACUUUAAGAGUUGGUCUCCCAGACACAUAUUAACCCACUCCUGGACUAAGUAGCAUUUCCAAUGGAGAUUCUUUGUGUGCACAUUCUGGAUCCUGAGUGUCUAUAAUAUCAUAUACACACCGGUGUUAGCCCAGUUAGCGAUCCUAUUUCUGUCUAGACAGGUCAAUGACUAUGGAGUGUGCUUGGGCUUUGGGAUAUGGCUUUUCCUUUGUGGCCUGUUUGAUGUGCCCACACACACGCAUACCUCUUAUUUGCUCUUAAAGUGGACGGGAACAUCGUACAUGCCUUUCCCUUACUUCUCUCCUUGGCCACAAUCCUUCUUGUGUCACGUUUGACAGGCUACCUUUUCCUUACUGGCUACUGCCCCAUAGAUGGGAUGUGUUAA